rnacentral:tRNA from 1 species
GGGAAUGUGGCUUGGUGGUGGAGUGCUUGCCUUACAUGCAUGAAGUCCUGGGUUCAAUUCCUCAGUACCA